rnacentral:rRNA from 1 species
GGACACCUACGGGGCGCAGCAGUGAGGAAUAUUGGUCAAUGGGCGCGAGCCUAAACCAGCCAAGUCGCGUGAGGGAAGACGGUCCUAUGGAUUGUAAACCUCUUCUGUCGGGGAGCAAAAGACGCCACGUGUGGCGUUCCGAGAGUACCCGAAGAAAAAGCAUCGGCUAACUCCGUGCCAGCAGCCGCGGUAAUACGGAGGAUGCGAGCGUUAUCCGGAUUUAUUGGGUUUAAAGGGUGCGCAGACGGAAGAUCAAGUCAGCGGUAAAAUUGAGAGGCUCAACCUCCUCGAGCCGUUGAAACUGG